UUGGCAAAACAGUUGUUUCGAUAAUCUAUGGGAUGCGUCACACCUUGUUCUUUAAUUUUCUCGUGCUGAAAUAAUGGAAAUAAUUACGCGUAAAAAUCUCCCAGCUUGUCAACAAGAUGUGUUCGCACUGCUUGUUCCCAGUUGUUGACAAGUCUGGAACAAGUUGUUAUCAUCUUGUAACAAGGUUGAUGAGGCCAACAGACUCGCAACAAGUUGUUCCAACAAGUCUGAUAUCG